CGGCGGACGGGUGAGGAACGCGUGGGUAACCUGCCCUGUACAGGGGGAUAACACAGAGAAAUCUGUGCUAAAACCGCAUAAGCUUACGGGACCGCAUGGUCUUGUGAGAAAAAACUCCGGUGGUACAGGAUGGGCCCGCGUCUGAUUAGCUAGUUGGAGAGGUAAGAGCUCACCAAGGCGACGAUCAGUAGCCGGUCUGAGAGGAUGGACGGCCACAUUGGGACUGAGACACGGCCCAAACUCCUACGGGAGGCAGCAGUGGGGAAUAUUGCACAAUGGGGGAAACCCUGAUGCAGCGAUGCCGCGUGAAGGAAGAAGAUUUUCGGAUUGUAAACUUCUAUCAGCAAGGAAGAAAACGGACAGUACUUGAGUAAGAAGCCCCGGCUAACUACGUGCCAGCAGCCGCGGUAAUACGUAGGGGGCGAGCGUUAUCCGGAAUUACUGGGUGUAAAGGGUGCGUAGGCGGUACGGCAAGUUUGAUGUGAAACCCUCGGGCUU
rnacentral:rRNA from 1 species